rfam:Bacterium CG10_49_38 isolate CG10_49_38 CG10_big_fil_rev_8_21_14_0.10_scaffold_14578, whole genome shotgun sequence.
CCUAAUAGGAAAUUUAAGAGCACAGGGUGGAUGCCUUGACUCUAAGCGGCGAUGAAGGAUGUGGCUCGGCUGCAAUAAGCUUCGGGGAGGUGCCUAGCAACCUUUGAUCCGGAGAUCUCCGAAUGGGGAAACCCUCUCGCGUGAACCGCGAGAACUCUGCUUUACGGCAGAGAGUAGACCCGGGGAAUUGAAACAUCUUAGUACCCGGAGGAAAAGAAACUAAUAAGAAUUCCCUUAGUAGCGGCGAGCGAAACGGGAACAGCCCAAACCGACUGUGCUUGCAUAGUCGGGGUUGUGAGGCAAUGACGUAGUACAACUAGGAGAGUUACAAAAAAUCAAUUUAAGUGAAUUCGCUGGGAAGCGAAGCCAUAGACGGUGACAGCCCGGUAACUGAAAAAUUAGAUUUCUCUUUUGUCAUUGUUCUCGAGUACUUCGAGGAACGACAGCCUUGAGGGAAUCCGGCGGCACUAACCGCCAAGGCUAAAUACGCUUAGAGAUCGAUAGUGAACCAGUACCGUGAGGGNNNNNNNNNNNNNNGUUGAAAUAGUCCCUGAAACCCUGUGCUUACAAGGAGUCGGAGCUUGAUCUCGCAAGAGGUCGGGUGACGGCGUGCCUAUUGAAGAAUGAGCCAACGAGUUUAUGCAAGUUGCUUAGCUAAGCUGCUCCGGUAGCGAAGCUUAAGGGAAACCGAGUGUGAAAGCGCGUUUUUCAACCCUUGGCUUUAGAGAUCGCAUCUGGUCUCUUAAGCCAAGCAGGUUGAAAGGUAUCUUGCAUAAGACCCGAAACCGGGUGAGCUUGCCAUGAGCAGGAUGAACCCCACCGAAAGGUGGGGGAAGGUCCGAACCGUUUAGCCGUGCAAUACUAUCGGAUGACUUGUGGUAAGGAGUGAAAAGCUAAUCGAACUCGGUAAUAGCUGGUUCUCUCCGAAAUAUCUUUAGGGAUAGCGUCUGGCGAACCCAUUGGGGGUAGAGCACUGGCAGGAUUGAAUAGGGGGCAACCUCGUCAAUCCUAUCAAACUCCGAAUACCAAUGAUUAUUACCAGGCAGUAAGACUACGGGCGCUAAGGUCCGUUGGUCAAAAGGGAAACAGCCCAGAUCUCAAUCUAAGGUCCCCAAAUCUAUGCUAAGUGCACUUAAGGAGGUGAGAUUUCUCUGACAAUGAGGAUGUUGGCUUAGAAGCAGCCAUCAUUUAAAGAAAGCGUAAUAGCUCACUCAUCAAGAGAUCUUGCGCCGCAGAUUAUCGGGGCUCAAGCAUGGUACCGAAGAUGAGGCUUCGUCCGCUUUCGAGUGGGCGAGGGGUAGGAGAGUGUUUUCUGCCGCACUGAAGCGCCGUCGCGAGAUUGGCGUGGAGCGCAGAGAAGUAAGAAUGUUGGCACAAGUAACCGCAACCCCGGUGAGAGCCCGGGGCGUCGAAAAACCAAGGUUUCCUUGGCAAUGUUGAUCAACCAAGGGUUAGUCGGGCCUAAGGCAAUGGCGAAAGCCGGAGCCGAUGGACACACGGUUAAUAUUCCGUGACCUCGUUUAAUUAUGAUGGAGCGACGGAGGAAACAAGUCGGAGCGCAUUAUUGGAUUUGCGUGGCUAGUCUAAGUCGGGUGGUUUUGGUAAAUCCGGAUCACUGAUUCAAUUCAACCGGCGCGAUCGGCCAAAUUCCUUCCUUCGGGUUGGGAAAUUCCGGUGAAGAGCCUUCCAAGAAAAACUUCUAAGUUUAAAUUAAGCGAGACCGUACCGCAAACCGACACAGGUGGUUAAGUCGAGAAGACUAAGACGAACGGGUGAGAGAUCCUCAAGGAACUCGGCAAAAAAGCGGCCGUAAGUUCGCAAUAAGGCCUGCCCACAGCAAUGUGGGCCGCAGCUAAAGUAUCCCUGGCGACUGUUUAUCAAAAACACAGCUCCCUGCGAACUCGCAAGAGGAAGUAUAGGGGGUGACGCCUGACCAAUGCCAGAAGGUCAAAUAAGGUUGGUGAUGCCGCAAGGUUCAGCUGACUUUAUAAGCCCUGGUGAAUGUCGGCGAUAACUAUAAUCGUCCUAAGGUCACGUUCUGGACAAUUUGUCAAGAACGUGAGGAUUGGGACGAUUAGAGAUAAACAGAAACGCAAUAAGUUGCCUUGCCGCGCGGCAACGCGCGGAUUAAUCCACACAUGGCUAUAUGCUGGGAAAAUCAUAUCUAUGGUAUAAUUAUUCCUUAGAUCAUGAACAAUCAGCAGGAAAGGCCAGGAAUUGAAGAAUGGAUCGUCGGUUUUACCGACGGGGAAGGUUGUUUCUCUGUCAGUAUUUUCCGAAACAAUACGACCAAGAUCGGUUGGCAAGUUUUUCCCGAAUUUGUGGUAACGCAAGGGAAGAAAAGUUUGUCGGCACUGAUCUUGUUCGAGAAAUUCUUCAGAUGCGGGAAAAUAUUCGUGAAUAAACGAUAUGAUAAUCAUCAUGAAUAUUUGUAUCGGUAUUGCGUGCGUUCGUUAAACGAACUGCAGCUUGCCAUUAUCCCAUUCUUUCGCAAGUACCCUCUAAGAACCGCGAAGCAAAAAGAUUUCAAACUCUUUGCGGAUAUUGUCGAGAUGUUGCUAAGGAAAGAACAUCUCAGUCAAAAAGGCUUGGAGAAAAUCGCUCGAAGAAUCGAGCGAAUGAAUCGAAAGAAAAAAUCACGAUUCCUGGAAUCCUCAGAGACCACACGCCAUGCUCCCGCGAAAACGGGAUGAAGAUAUGGUCCUCCGUAAUUAAGGAAACGGAAAGCGUAAUUCCUUGUCUGGUAAGUUCAGACGUGCACGAAUGGCGUAACGACUGGGGAACUGUCUCGAGGAUUUGCCCGGUGAAAAUACAGUGGGGGUGAAGAUGCCCUCUACCUGCAGUUAGACGAAAAGACCCCAGAAGCUUUACUACAACUUGAUAUUGAGUAUGCGUUUGUACUGCGUAGCAUAGGUGGGAGACUUUGAAGCGGCGAUUUUGGUUGCCGUGGAGUCGUCAGUGAAAUACCACUCUGGGCGGAGGCAUAUUCUAACCGGUCGCGCCAAACGCGAUGGAGACAGUAUCUGGUGGGUAGUUUUAUUGGGGCGAUAUCCUCCCAAAAAGUAACGGAGGAGUUUAUUAAGGUUGGCUAGGCGCGAAUGGAAACCGUGCCGAUAGUGUAAUGGCAUAAGCCAGCUUGACUGCAAGUCGUGCGUGACGAGCAGGUGCGAAAGCAGAACAUAGUGAACCGACGGUCCGCAUUAGACGCGGCCUAAGAUUAACGGAUAAAAGCUACUCUGGGGAUAACAGGCUAGUUCCGCCCAAGCGUCCAUAGCGACGGCGGAGUUCGGCACCUCGAUGUCGGCUCAUCUUAUCCUGGGGGUGGAGAAGCUCCCAAGGGUUUGGCUGUUCGCCAAUUAAAAAGAUACGCGAGCUNNNNNNNNNNNNNUGCUUCUAGUACGAGAGGACCGAAGUGGACUGACCUCUGGUCUAAGGGCUGUACCGCCAGGUGCAACGCCCUGUAGCUAAGUCGGGAAAGGAUAACCUCUGAAAGCAUCUAAGAGGGAAGCCAACUUCAAGAUUAAUUAUCAUGAUGAGACUCCUGGGAGAUGACCAGGUUGAUAGGCUUUAGGUGUAAGCACGGUAACGUGUUCAGCCGAGAAGUACUAAUCAGUCCAUUCCUAUUAGGAA